ACUUCAUUUCACGUGCUCUCUCACCGGACGGAGGGGUGAGAGAGUGCGUAAAAUGAGGAGA
rnacentral:pre_miRNA from 1 species